GGGUUGUGAGGUUAAGCGACUAAGCGUACACGGUGGAUGCCCUGGCAGUCAGAGGCGAUGAAGGACGUGCUAAUCUGCGAUAAGCGUCGGUGAGGUGAUAUGAACCGUUAUAACCGGCGAUUUCCGAAUGGGGAAACCCAGUGUGUUUCGACACACUAUCAUUAACUGAAUCCAUAGGUUAAUGAGGCGAACCGGGGGAACUGAAACAUCUAAGUACCCCGAGGAAAAGAAAUCAACCGAGAUUCCCCCAGUAGCGGCGAGCGAACGGGGAGGAGCCCAGAGCCUGAAUCAGUGUGUGUGUUAGUGGAAGCGUCUGGAAAGGCGCGCGAUACAGGGUGACAGCCCCGUACACAAAAAUGCACAUGCUGUGAGCUCGAUGAGUAGGGCGGGACACGUGGUAUCCUGUCUGAAUAUGGGGGGACCAUCCUCCAAGGCUAAAUACUCCUGACUGACCGAUAGUGAACCAGUACCGUGAGGGAAAGGCGAAAAGAACCCCGGCGAGGGGAGUGAAAAAGAACCUGAAACCGUGUACGUACAAGCAGUGGGAGCCUCUUAAUGGGGUGACUGCGUACCUUUUGUAUAAUGGGUCAGCGACUUAUAUUCUGUAGCAAGGUUAACCGAAUAGGGGAGCCGAAGGGAAACCGAGUCUUAACUGGGCGUUAAGUUGCAGGGUAUAGACCCGAAACCCGGUGAUCUAGCCAUGGGCAGGUUGAAGGUUGGGUAACACUAACUGGAGGACCGAACCGACUAAUGUUGAAAAAUUAGCGGAUGACUUGUGGCUGGGGGUGAAAGGCCAAUCAAACCGGGAGAUAGCUGGUUCUCCCCGAAAGCUAUUUAGGUAGCGCCUCGUGAAUUCAUCUCCGGGGGUAGAGCACUGUUUCGGCAAGGGGGUCAUCCCGACUUACCAACCCGAUGCAAACUGCGAAUACCGGAGAAUGUUAUCACGGGAGACACACGGCGGGUGCUAACGUCCGUCGUGAAGAGGGAAACAACCCAGACCGCCAGCUAAGGUCCCAAAGUCAUGGUUAAGUGGGAAACGAUGUGGGAAGGCCCAGACAGCCAGGAUGUUGGCUUAGAAGCAGCCAUCAUUUAAAGAAAGCGUAAUAGCUCACUGGUCGAGUCGGCCUGCGCGGAAGAUGUAACGGGGCUAAACCAUGCACCGAAGCUGCGGCAGCGACACUAUGUGUUGUUGGGUAGGGGAGCGUUCUGUAAGCCUGUGAAGGUGGCCUGUGAGGGUUGCUGGAGGUAUCAGAAGUGCGAAUGCUGACAUAAGUAACGAUAAAGCGGGUGAAAAGCCCGCUCGCCGGAAGACCAAGGGUUCCUGUCCAACGUUAAUCGGGGCAGGGUGAGUCGACCCCUAAGGCGAGGCCGAAAGGCGUAGUCGAUGGGAAACAGGUUAAUAUUCCUGUACUUGGUGUUACUGCGAAGGGGGGACGGAGAAGGCUAUGUUGGCCGGGCGACGGUUGUCCCGGUUUAAGCGUGUAGGCUGGUUUUCCAGGCAAAUCCGGAAAACCAAGGCUGAGGCGUGAUGACGAGGCACUACGGUGCUGAAGUGACAAAUGCCCUGCUUCCAGGAAAAGCCUCUAAGCAUCAGGUAACAUCAAAUCGUACCCCAAACCGACACAGGUGGUCAGGUAGAGAAUACCAAGGCGCUUGAGAGAACUCGGGUGAAGGAACUAGGCAAAAUGGUGCCGUAACUUCGGGAGAAGGCACGCUGAUAUGUAGGUGAAGCGACUUGCUCGUGGAGCUGAAAUCAGUCGAAGAUACCAGCUGGCUGCAACUGUUUAUUAAAAACACAGCACUGUGCAAACACGAAAGUGGACGUAUACGGUGUGACGCCUGCCCGGUGCCGGAAGGUUAAUUGAUGGGGUUAGCGGUAACGCGAAGCUCUUGAUCGAAGCCCCGGUAAACGGCGGCCGUAACUAUAACGGUCCUAAGGUAGCGAAAUUCCUUGUCGGGUAAGUUCCGACCUGCACGAAUGGCGUAAUGAUGGCCAGGCUGUCUCCACCCGAGACUCAGUGAAAUUGAACUCGCUGUGAAGAUGCAGUGUACCCGCGGCAAGACGGAAAGACCCCGUGAACCUUUACUAUAGCUUGACACUGAACAUUGAGCCUUGAUGUGUAGGAUAGGUGGGAGGCUUUGAAGUGUGGACGCCAGUCUGCAUGGAGCCGACCUUGAAAUACCACCCUUUAAUGUUUGAUGUUCUAACGUUGGCCCCUAAUCGGGGUUGCGGACAGUGUCUGGUGGGUAGUUUGACUGGGGCGGUCUCCUCCUAAAGAGUAACGGAGGAGCACGAAGGUUGGCUAAUCCUGGUCGGACAUCAGGAGGUUAGUGCAAUGGCAUAAGCCAGCUUGACUGCGAGCGUGACGGCGCGAGCAGGUGCGAAAGCAGGUCAUAGUGAUCCGGUGGUUCUGAAUGGAAGGGCCAUCGCUCAACGGAUAAAAGGUACUCCGGGGAUAACAGGCUGAUACCGCCCAAGAGUUCAUAUCGACGGCGGUGUUUGGCACCUCGAUGUCGGCUCAUCACAUCCUGGGGCUGAAGUAGGUCCCAAGGGUAUGGCUGUUCGCCAUUUAAAGUGGUACGCGAGCUGGGUUUAGAACGUCGUGAGACAGUUCGGUCCCUAUCUGCCGUGGGCGCUGGAGAACUGAGGGGGGCUGCUCCUAGU
rnacentral:rRNA from 1 species